GCAUUUUUAAGUAGUUUUUUUUUUCCCAGCGUUUUGGCAAUUUUUCAUACAUAAAACUAAAGGGUUCAGGUGAACAUCUGAUAUGGUGUAGUUAGUGGAUGAAAAACUUACCACCGAAAUUUGGUCAAUAGAGAACGGCAUCACUGUGUUUGAGAAAUUUCCAGCUAGUGUAUAUUUGAGUCCUGUUAACAGUGGAUAUCGGAACAUGUAAUGGUUAUGAUAAACAUAAUGACUAUACUGGAUCUAUGAGUUGCUAUGUUGUGCUAUAGUCAGAUAAUCAAACAGAUGAACUCUCAGAUAAUCAAACAGAUGAACUAACUGUAAUAUUUGUAUGUACAAAUUUAUAAUGAAACACAUAUAAUAAUGUGCUUUUAUCAAAUGUCAAAGUAAUCUUAUAAUGGUAUUACCAAGUCCAUUGACAUUAGUUUUGCCUAAUUUAUCAUAACUCAGAUAAAAGCUACCUAUGGAAUUUAUGAGAGUCCUCUCUCCUUCUUCCCUUAGAAAUAUGAUGCAGAAUUGAUCUCAGGAAAAUGUUAAAUAAUUAGGAAUUUGAAGUUUUAAUGUGUGCGCAUGCUUGCUUGCCCGCACUUUUUGGUUGAGAAAGAGAGAAAGGAAGAGGAUUAUAGUUGCAUAUUUUUAAAGUUAACUGUAGUAAAUCAAAUUUUGUCCUUGAAUUUAUAUGUUGAAGAACUUUUCUGAAUGCUGUUUUCCCCGUAUGUCAGUCUUCACAUGCCAUCGUGUUGAAUCCCGUUUCUUAUUCUCAAUCAACCUAGCCACACUUUUUUUCUGCUGAUGAACAUAGAUGGAGAAGAGUGGAAUCUUAAGCAUCUAAAUAGUCUGUUUGUCAUAGCACCUUAGUUUAACUACAGAGGCUCGUAGAUGAACAACACUAACAUAUCUGUGAUGUAUUUGUUGUACUUGAAGAUUCUAAUUAUAAACUUCUUUUAUGCUUAAAAAGUGUAAAGGCAACCAGUACUCAAUUGGUUAGCACUCUAGGAUUUCUACAUGUAGACUAUGUGUAGUUUGAUGCUGUAUUCAUCUGUUACGGUUAUCAAUUGAAAUGAUUGGUGUGCUGCUCAUUUUGCAGGAAGGAGCAUCUCAACAGCUAU
rnacentral:misc_RNA from 1 species